rfam:Vitis vinifera, whole genome shotgun sequence of line PN40024, unoriented chromosome 17, chr17
UUGUGCGAUCAAACCAACACUAAUGCACCGAAUCCCAUCAGAACUCCGCAGCUAAGUGUGCUUGGGCGAGAGUAGUACUGGGAUGGGUGACCUCCUGGGAAGUCCUCGUGUUGCACCCC